CCUACGGGAGGCUGCAGUGGGGAAUAUUGGGCAAUGGGCGCAAGCCUGACGCAGCAACGCCGCGUGAAGGAAGAAGGCUCUCGGGUUGUAAACUUCUUUUAUCAGGGACGAAGCAAGUGACGAUACCUGAUGAAUAAGCCACGGCUAACUGCGUGCCAGCAGCCGCGAUAAUGCGUAGGUGGCAAGCGUUAUCCGGAUUCACUGGGUGUAAAGGGCGUGUAGGGGGGAAAGCAAGUCAGAUGUGAAACCCAUGGGCUCAACCUGUGGCCUGCAUUUGAAACUGUUUUUCUUGAGUGCUGGAGAGGCAGACGGAAUUCCUAGUGUAGCGGUGAAAUGCGUAGAUAUUAGGAGGAACACCAGUGGCGAAGGCGGUCUGCUGGACAGCAACUGACGCUGAGGAGCGAAAGCGUGGGGAGCAAACAGGAUUAGAUACCCUGGUAGUC
rnacentral:rRNA from 1 species